rnacentral:rRNA from 1 species
GAUCCUGGCUCAGAUUGAACGCUGGCGGCAUGCCUUACACAUGCAAGUCGAACGGUAACAGGUCUUCGGACGCUGACGAGUGGCGAACGGGUGAGUAAUACAUCGGAACGUGCCCAGUCGUGGGGGAUAACUACUCGAAAGAGUAGCUAAUACCGCAUACGAUCUGAGGAUGAAAGCGGGGGACCUUCGGGCCGUCGCGCGAUUGGAGCGGCCGGAUGGCAGAUUAGGUAGUUGGUGGGAUAAAAG